rnacentral:lncRNA from 1 species
CAAAAUUUGGAGCUUGUGUGUAUUCCAAUGAUUGUUGUCUGCUCCAAUAAAAGAGAUGUAUAAAUGAACAUACUUCUUGGCAGUAUCUUCUCCAGACCAUUGAUUUCUGCCCUUCCCUAACACCCCAUCCUUCUUGAACUUCACAGACAUGGAAAAUGAAUCAAG